rnacentral:rRNA from 1 species
AGAACGAACGCUGGCGGCAUGCCUAAUACAUGCAAGUCGAACGAACUCUUCGGAGUUAGUGGCGCACGGGUGCGUAACGCGUGGGAAUCUGCCCCUUGGUUCGGAAUAACAGUUGGAAACGACUGCUAAUACCGGAUGAUGACGAAAGUCCAAAGAUUUAUCGCCCAGGGAUGAGCCCGCGUAGGAUUAGCUAGUUGGUGAGGUAAAGGCUCACCAAGGCGACGAUCCUUAGCUGGUCUGAGAGGAUGAUCAGCCACACGUGGACUGAGACACGGCCCAGACCUCCGUACGGGAGCAGACAGUAGGGAAUAUGGACAAGUGGGC